rnacentral:lncRNA from 13 species
CUUUUAAUUAAUGGAUUAAAAUUUCAGUAAUUGCUGCAUCUCCUCAGCUGAGCAAUAUUUGCAGAGAUGUGUUUGUAUCUGUUGUGUCCUAAUGUACCUACUCCAGCUGAUUUAUAAACUGCACAUAAUUAGAGUACUUUUUCAAAUUCCUGCUCUUGCUGAGAUUUCCCAUCUUCUAGAAACUAUGCAUGCAUGAGUUAAAUGUAUGUCAUGCUAUUGACAGGAAUGAUUCACCAUUUCUAGGCAUUGUGAGGAAAUGAACAAUACUGGCUCAUUUCAAAAAGGAGUCUUUCAAAGUCAGCACAUUCUAACACUUCUCUCUUCUCUCCCUUCAGUGCGUGAACCCCAGUGAUGUCUUAGAAAGAUGCACUGGUUGUCAUGGUAAAAGCUACACUAAUUGGCUUCCUCUAGUUGAUGUUCUGUCAAGCACACUGCCCCACUGAGGAUUUGGAAUAGAGCGCUUAACUUUUUGCUUCUCAAAGAACAUGUUCCCAGCAAGUCAGCUGCCUCAGCAGAAAAUGGAAGGUGCUGUAAGGAAACUGCCUACGGCUCCUUUCCCAGGAUAAUAAGAAGUGCCUUUUGCCUCCGCCAUGAUUCUGACCCCCUCCCCGCCCAGCCAUGGGGAACUUGUAUCUCCAGGACCUGGUAUACUUGUUAUGCGUUCUGGAUCCCUACAUGGUAUUUAAGUCAGAGCAAGAGAACAAGGGCUGUGGAAAACAAGUGGACUUCAGAUUUGGCCUAAUGGCAGGUAGAGAAGAAAAGCUGUUGGCAUGUGAAGAUCUGAGAAAAUAUGUGGUGAGGAGAAGUUCUCACAUUUUCUGAAAACAGCUGGAAACUAUUAAACUAGCUAUGAGAUACCAUAAUGUAGAAGCAGUUUGAAAUAGUCCAUAUUAGAGGCAUUCUGAAAUCAGUCAUUGCUUGUCAGUUAGCUGUUGAUAUCUGAAGUUGUCUUCCGGUGAAAGGUAAUUGCCAUUCAACACGCUGGCUGUUUUACUUCUGCUUCUGCUGUAUUAUUGGCAAGUCACAAAAUGGCAUUAAUACACAGAAAAUUAAUAAUAGUGACAUCAGAAAUGAUCAGAAAAUCUACAAAUUGAAUGACAAUAAGAACAUUAAAGUUCACAAGCUAGUGGAGGUGGAAUACAUUGAAAGUUUACUUUGUUUAAAGAGGGAUAUUAGGUAUAAUCGUUUUGCUCUUUAAAAAUCAAUACUCUAAAUACCACAAGUUUUGCAGUCAGUUUGCUUGGGUGGAAUCAGUGGAAAUUGAACACAAUUCUCAGAAAUGCUUUUAGUAGGUGAUAGCUGGUGUAGGAGGAAAAAUUGUGGUGGGAAAAUGUUACAGAGAAAAAAAGAUGUUGUUUAAGGCUGAAAGCAAUUCACUCUUAAAAGAAAUUUGCAUUUCAUAACACGUCUUCACUAGUACAUGACAUGCUAUGCUUCAUCUACUUUGUAGAUCAACUCUGCAUUAUUUUGGUCAAUGAGCUAGUUGGAGCAGGUGAAAACCGGGUAGUCAAAGUGAGGAAAUUAAAUUAUUUAUUUGUCUGACUUUAUAUUAUAAUUUUAAAAGUGAUUUCACCCUUAUAGCUUUGUAGAAGACAGAAAUGUUCUUUUAAAAUAUGUACUGCUGAUUUUCAAAAUGGUAAAGCUUUGGCAGCAAAGGUACUAAGUGGCACUGAUUUAAACAUCUUGGGGACUAUUAUAUUCAUUUAAAACUUUGAAUAAGAGAGUAUUUUUCUUAAAUAAAAUUCUAUCACUCUCAAGUACA